rnacentral:lncRNA from 1 species
UAGGGUUUCUAUGAUAUAUAGAGAUAUACAAGUCAGAUCAAGGUGAAAUUUGGCAUGGUGUUAAAGGACUUGAAGAUCAAGCUGCACACCAAUUUUGAGUCAAAGUUAAUUGUUAGAAAAGGAGAAAUAACUACUAGGAUUUUUGCUUCACUUUUCAAGUUGAUAGCUAAGUAAAAUCAAUGCAAUUUUUGGAGGUUUUUUUACAAUCUUUAAGUUGGAUUGGACUAAAAAUUCU